UUGCCUUAGUAACGGCGAGUGAAGCGGCAAUAGCUCAAAUUUGAAAUCCGGCUCUUUUAGAGUCCGAGUUGUAAUUUGUAGAAGAUGCUUCGGCUUACGUACCGGUCUAAGUUCCUUGGAACAGGACGUCACAGAGGGUGAGAAUCCCGUUUGUGGCCGGUACUUCCGCUAUGUGAAGCUCCUUCGACGAGUCGAGUUGUUUGGGAAUGCAGCUCUAAAUGGGAGGUAAAUUUCUUCUAAAGCUAAAUAUUGGCCAGAGACCGAUAGCGCACAAGUAGAGUGAUCGAAAGAUGAAAAGCACUUUGGAAAGAGAGUUAAAAAGUACGUGAAAUUGUUGAAAGGGAAGCGCUUGCGACCAGACUUGUCUUUAGUUGCUCCGCCGGUCCUUCGACCGGUGUAUUCUUCUAUUGUCAGGCCAGCAUCAGUUUGGGUGGUUGGAUAAAGGCAUUGGGAAUGUGACUCUCUUCGGGGAGUGUUAUAGCCCUUUGUGCAAUACAGCCUACCUAGACUGAGGACCGCGCUUCGGCUAGGAUGCUGGCGUAAUGGUCGUAAGCGGCCCGUCUUGAAACACGGACCAAGGAGUCUAACAUCUAUGCGAGUGUUUGGGUGUCAAACCCGUGCGCGAAAUGAAAGUGAACGGAGGUGGGAACCUUUGGGUGCACCAUCGACCGAUCCUGAUGUCUUCGGAUGGAUUUGAGUAAGAGCAUAGCUGUUGGGACCCGAAAGAUGGUGAACUAUGCCUGAAUAGGGUGAAGCCAGAGGAAACUCUGGUGGAGGCUCGCAGCGGUUCUGACGUGCAAAUCGAUCGUCAAAUUUGGGUAUAGGGGCGAAAGACUAAUCGAACCAUUAAAAAAAUAACUUAGUUACUAGGUGGUUAAGAGGCGGCUAAAAGUGCCCGUCUAGUCCCUUCAUUCGGGGCAACACCGUCAAAUUGCGGGGACUUCCUUAGAGCUUGAACUACCGCGACUACAUUGAAAAAUGUGGUGCAGCACCGGGUUAAUUACCUAGGGGAUGGUAAAAAUGUUCAAGAUUGGUUAAUCCGCAGCCAAGUCCUAAGUCAAUUUAUCUAUUGAUAUGGAUGCAGUUCACAGACUAGAUGUCGGUGGGUAUAAUUAUUUAGUAAUUAUGCUUAAGGUAUAGUCGGUUCCCUAUGGAAACAUAGGCAGUAAAUCAAAGCCUUUAGGCAGGAUGACCCUCUAUAUAUUUUUAAGAGGUGUGCCUAAUAGCCCGAAAUUUACUGGGGUGUCCUACAAUUUUU
rnacentral:rRNA from 1 species